rnacentral:rRNA from 1 species
UAGAGUUUGAUCCUGGCUCAGAUUGAACGCUGGCGGCAGGCUUAACACAUGCAAGUCGAGCGGGGAAAGGUAGCUUGCUACCUAACCUAGCGGCGGACGGGUGAGUAAUGCUUAGGAAUCUGCCUAUUAGUGGGGGACAACAUUCCGAAAGGAAUGCUAAUACCGCAUACGCCCUACGGGGGAAAGCAGGGGAUCUUCGGACCUUGCGCUAAUAGAUGAGCCUAAGUCAGAUUAGCUAGUUGGUGGGGUAAAGGCCUACCAAGGCGACGAUCUGUAGCGGGUCUGAGGGGAUGAUCCGCCACACUGGGACUGAGACACGGCCCAGACUCCUACGGGAGGCAGCAGUGGGGAAUAUUGGACAAUGGGCGAAAGCCUGAUCCAGCCAUGCCGCGUGUGUGAAGAAGGCCUUUUGGUUGUAAAGCACUUUAAGCGAGGAGGAGGCUACUUAGAUUAAUACUCUAGGAUAGUGGACGUUACUCGCAGAAUAAGCACCGGCUAACUCUGUGUCAGCAGCCGCGGUAAUACAGAGGGUGCGAGCGUUAAUCGGAUUUACUGGGCGUAAAGCGUGCGUAGGCGGCUUCUUAAGUCGGAUGUGAAAUCCCUGAGCUUAACUUAGGAAUUGCAUUCGAUACUGGGAAGCUAGAGUAUGGGAGAGGAUGGUAGAAUUCCAGGUGUAGCGGUGAAAUGCGUAGAGAUCUGGAGGAAUACCGAUGGCGAAGGCAGCCAUCUGGCCUAAUACUGACGCUGAGGUACGAGAGCAUGGGGAGCAAACAGGAUUAGAUACCCUGGUAGUCCAUGCCGUAAACGAUGUCUACUAGCCGUUGGGGCCUUUGAGGCUUUAGUGGCGCAGCUAACGCGAUAAGUAGACCGCCUGGGGAGUACG